AUGGCACUGAAACGGAUUAAUAAGGAACUUAGAGAUUUGGCCCGUGACCCUCCAGCACAAUGUUCUGCAGGUCCAGUUGGGGAUGAUAUGUUUCAUUGGCAAGCCACAAUUAAGGGACCUAAUGAUAGCCCAUAUCAAGGUGCUGUAUUCUUUUUUGACAAUUCAUUUUCCUACAGACUACCCCUUCAAACCACCUAAGGUUGCAUUUACAACAAGAAUUUAUCAUCCAAAUAUUAACAGUAAUGGCAGCAUUUGUCUCGAUAUUCUAAGAUCACAGUGGUCUCCUGCUUUAACUAUUUCUAAAGUUCUUUUAUCCAUUUCUUCACUGUUAUGUGAUACAAACCCAGAUGACCCCCUAGUGCCAGAGAUUGCAUGCAUCUAUAAAACAGACAGAGAUAAGUACAACAGAAUAUCUCGGGAAUGGACUCAGAAGUAUGCCAUGUGAUGCUACCUUAAAGUCAGAAUAACCUGCAUUAUAGCUAGAAUAAACUUUAAAUUGCUGUUCCUUUUUUGAUUUUUCUUAUCCGGCUGCUCCCCAUCAGACCUCAUCUUUUUUAAUUUUAUUUUUUGUUUACCUCCCUCCAUUCAUUCACAUGCUCAUCAGAGAAGACUUAAGUUCUUCCAGCUUUGGACAAUAACUUCUUUUAGAAACUGUAAAGUAGUUACAAGAGAACAGUUGUCCAAGACUCAGAAAUUUUUAAAAAAUGCAGCAUGUGUAUUAUGUGGCCAAUUUCUUCCCUCUAAUUUGGUUAUGAGACUAAAACCAUUCCUCACUGCUCUAACAUGCUGAAGAAAUCACCUGAGGAGGAGGGAGAUGGAUGCUCAGUUGUCACAUCAAAGGAAGCAGCAUUAUUCAGGCAGCAUCCAUUCUUGUUUAAGCCUUCCACUGUUAGAGAUUUGAGGUUACAUGAUAUACUUUAUGCUCAUAACUGAUGUGGCUGGAGAAUUGGUAUUGAAUUUAUAGCAUCAGCAGAACAGAAAAUGUGAUGUAUUUUAUGCAUGUCAAUAAAGGAAUGACCUGUUCUUGUUCUACAGAGAA